GGGGGCGCCUUGGAUUCGACAGGUUUGCUUGGUGAUAGGAAGAGCAUGUUCGGGGUGGAAACGCAACCCGGUUAUAAAAGCGUUUUAAUUUUUAAUUGGCACAGAGCAAUACGCUCUUGCAGCUUAGAGUUUAAGCUGUCGUCGCUUGAAGGGGUGUCGGUACUUUUCCUGUGGCGUCAUUUUAUCGACUGGUUGUUUUUUCUUCCACCUGUAGAGAAAACCACAAGAUUAAUCAGGUUACAAUUAUUUAAGCCUGUUCGUAGGCGUAAAUAGCAAGAGAAAUAUAUACGAUACUAAGCAUGUAGCUGCUUUCGUUGUCUCAGAUUUGGACGCGGGUUCGAUUCCCGCCGCCUCCACCA
rfam:Candidatus Thiomargarita nelsonii contig_1240, whole genome shotgun sequence.